GCACGCACGCACGCACGCACGCUCGCGGUCGGGAUGGCCGCGUGGCCCACAGUCCGCAGACUCCAGGCUGGAAGCUUCUCCCCCGGGGCAGCACCAAGGCGCCACAACUGAAGUUUGAACAAAGUAGGGAGAAAAGGAGGAGUCUGAGGCCCCAGUCACGGCAGAUCCAUGAGCUGGAAGGAGCCUGGGCCCCCGAGUCUCUGCCUGGAGGAGAGCCUACCAACCGUGACCACCUAAAUUGGAUAUGAGCGAGAAAUCAACUAGUGUGCUAAGCCAUGACCGAUUUUUGUUCACUUGAGCAGCUAGCAAUACCACUCUACAACCACAGUGUCUAGACUAACAAUUUGAACAGUUGUGGUCCUGCCCCUACCAAAAAUUUAAAACAAAUCACAUGUCUCUUCCUUUGUGUGAACUGGGCUUUUGUUAGCGCAAAGGAGAAAGAUGUUCAAAGAAAUAAAAUGAGGGGCUGUUAAGCCAACGUGAAAGAUUUCCAUGGGCACCAGAUGUAGAAAGAGCAUUAUUAAACGGAUUAUAUAGAUCUUAGUGACAGUAAUUUUGACCUCCUAUAGGCACCGUCAGCUGUUAAACAGUAGGAAAUGUUGAUGACCUUGUUCUAAUUUCCAUUUAUAUUUAUUCUAAAUUGGACACCUCAGAGAUUGUUUAAAUAAAAAAGGGAAAUUCACUAAGUAA